GCGGUGUGCAAAUAAUGUUGUUUGGUGUUUUUUGCCCUCAACAUCUCCUUCCAGGCAGCGUGGCAAUGGUUAUGUUUUAGGGUUAAGGCUAGGGUUAGCUGCCUGGAAGGCGACGUUGGAAGCAAAAAAACACCAUUGAGCAUUAC